GUAACACGACACUGAUGAAAGGACAAGCUAUUUUCUUGAACAAACAAAGUUAGAUACUCAGAUUCCCAGCAUACACAGAACAGAACUUGUUGCGUAUGAAUUUACAGCUGCCGUAGCAAAUUCCAUGUUAUGAUGUGGACGAACGCAGGAAUACUGCUAAAUUUAAUCUUGGGAUUGACAUUAACUGUUGGAGAAAGCCCUGUGACAUCGAAUGGACGUAUCGUAAGCACCACUGCAGAAGCGAGUAUAAGUGAGGGCUUAAGCAAAGGAAUUAUAGCAGUGAUAAUUGGUAUUUGCCUAACAUCAUUCUUUGUGAUUAUAAUUGCGUAUUAUAUGGUGCGUGGAUAUCAAAAACAAGGAAGCAACGAUUUGGCCACGAUUGAGGAAAAUGGGGGAAAUACAUCAGACCAUGUAGCAGCGAAAAGCAAUAUGGGAUUACGUCAACUAUAAAAUCUUAAAAGUGUUUUAUUGAAAGCAGAAACUAUAUAGUUUAUGUAGUCUGUCGUGAAAAAAUAAAACAGGUAUAUAUCGCGGAAUUGGCUGACACCGCGCUCCAUAACUUUCAAAGUGAAAGUCAGUUCUGCGCAUCACUUCUGCUCAUAACAAUGUGAGGUCCUCAGAAAUUUUGCCCUAAUUUCGCAUGUUUCAAAUUUUUCUUAUGAAAAACACUAGUUCAUAUUCAUUUAAAGGCACAGCGAACCUAAACGUUGUUAAAUAUUCAGACAACACAACCAUUUAAAGAAGUGUAGAAGUUCAAAAUGUGAACAAACCGUUCGUUUACAUACGCCACGGCAGACUUGACUUCCACUUUAUUGUUCGUUGCUUUUAUACUGGAUUCAUCCCAAAUUGCUAGUCUAUUUGCAUGUGAACUGAAAUAUACAGUAACAUAUCUAUAAUAUGUACUCAUUAAAUUAACAUCAUUUACAUAAAGCGAUAUGAGGCAUGCAGAUGUGUGAAACUCGUCAUGAUCAUGGGAAGCAGUUAGUAAUAUCAUGGUUGAUUGCAUGUGGAUAGCCAAAGGCUCAGAUGAAGUAUAUCAACCUCGUACCCAGGGUAAUUUCACUGUCUUAUAGGGGGAGACCCUGGGUACGAGGUUGGAGGUAUAUCGUGAACAAACGAUGUAUGUUAUAACUUCCCGUCUUCU